rnacentral:rRNA from 1 species
GAUGAACGCUGGCGGCGUGCCUAAUACAUGCAAGUCGAGCGAACGGACGAGAAGCUUGCUUCUCUGAUGUUAGCGGCGGACGGGUGAGUAACACGUGGAUAACCUACCUAUAAGACUGGGAUAACUUCGGGAAACCGGAGCUAAUACCGGAUAAUAUUUUGAACCGCAUGGUUCAAAAGUGAAAGACGGUCUUGCUGUCACUUAUAGAUGGAUCCGCGCUGCAUUAGCUAGUUGGUAGGGUAACGGCCUACCAAGGCAACGAUGCAUAGCCGACCUGAGAGGGUGAUCGGCCACACUGGAACUGAGACACGGUCCAGACUCCUACGGGAGGCAGCAGUAGGGAAUAUUCCGCAAUGGGCGAAAGCCUGACGGAGCAACGCCGCGUGAGUGAUGAAGGUCUUCGGAUCGUAAAACUCUGUUAGUAGGGAAGAACAUAUGUGUAAGUAACUGUGCACAUCUUGACGGUACCUAAUCAGAAAGCCACGGCUAACUACGUG